rnacentral:rRNA from 1 species
AGCGAUCCGGUGGCGGAUGGGCAUGCGGCGCAUUAGCUAGACGGCGGGGUGACGGCCCACCGUGGCGACGAUGCGUAGGGGUUCUGAGAGGAAGGCCCCCCACACUGGGACUGAGACACGGCCCAGACUCCUACGGGAGGCAGCAGUGAGGAAUAUUGGUCAAUGGGCGGAAGCCUGAACCAGCCAAGUCGCGUGAGGGAUUAAGGCCCUGCGGGUCGUAAACCUCUUUUGCCGGGGAGCAGUGGUCCGGACGCGUCCGGGCCGGGAGAGUACCCGGAGAAAAAGCAUCGGCUAACUCCGUGCCAGCAGCCGCGGUAAUACGGAGGAUGCGAGCGUUAUCCGGAUUUAUUGGGUUUAAAGGGUGCGUAGGCGGGCAUUUAAGCCGGCGGUCAAAUGUCGGGGCUCAACCCCGGCCUGCCGUCGGAACUGGGUGCCUUGAGUGGGCGAGAAGUAUGCGGAAUGCGUGGUGUAGCGGUGAAAUGCAUAGAUAUCACGCAGAACCCCGAUUGCGAAGGCAGCAUACCGGCGCCCGACUGACGCUGAGGCACGAAAGUGCGGGUAUCGAACAGGAUUAGAUACCCUGGUAGUCCGCACAGU